ACGAACGCUGGCGGCGUGGAUAAGACAUGCAAGUCGAACGAGAGAAUUGCUAGCUUGCUAAUAAUUCUCUAGUGGCGCACGGGUGAGUAACACGUGAGUAACCUGCCCCCGAGAGCGGGAUAGCCCUGGGAAACUGGGAUUAAUAGCGCAUAGUAUCGAAAGAUUAAAGCAGCAAUGCGCUUGGGGAUGGGCUCGCGGCCUAUUAGUUAGUUGGUGAGGUAACGGCUCACCAAGGCGAUGACGGGUAGCCGGUCUGAGAGGAUGUCCGGCCACACUGGAACUGAGACACGGUCCAGACACCUACGGGUGGCAGCAGUCGAGAAUCAUUCACAAUGGGGGAAACCCUGAUGGUGCGACGCCGCGUGGGGGAAUGAAGGUCUUCGGAUUGUAAACCCCUGUCAUGUGGGAGCAAAUUAAAAAGAUAGUACCACAAGAGGAAGAGACGGCUAACUCUGUGCCAGCAGCCGCGGUAAUACAGAGGUCUCAAGCGUUGUUCGGAAUCACUGGGCGUAAAGCGUGCGUAGGCUGUUUCGUAAGUCGUGUGUGAAAGGCGCGGGCUCAACCCGCGGACGGCACAUGAUACUGCGAGACUAGAGUAAUGGAGGGGGAACCGGAAUUCUCGGUGUAGCAGUGAAAUGCGUAGAUAUCGAGAGGAACACUCGUGGCGAAGGCGGGUUCCUGGACAUUAACUGACGCUGAGGCACGAAGGCCAGGGGAGCGAAAGGGAUUAGAUACCCCUGUAGUCCUGGCAGUAAACGGUGCACGCUUGGUGUGCGGGGAAUCGACCCCCUGCGUGCCGGAGCUAACGCGUUAAGCGUGCCGCCUGGGGAGUACGGUCGCAAGAUUAAAACUCAAAGAAAUUGACGGGGACCCGCACAAGCGGUGGAGUAUGUGGCUUAAUUCGAUGCAACGCGAAGAACCUUACCUGGGCUUGACAUGUAAUGAACAACAUGUGAAAGCAUGCGACUCUUCGGAGGCGUUACACAGGUGCUGCAUGGCCGUCGUCAGCUCGUGUCGUGAGAUGUUUGGUUAAGUCCAGCAACGAGCGCAACCCCUGUUGCCAGUUACCAGCACGUGAAGGUGGGGACUCUGGCGAGACUGCCCAGAUCAACUGGGAGGAAGGUGGGGACGACGUCAGGUCAGUAUGGCCCUUAUGCCCAGGGCUGUACACGUACUACAAUGCCCAGUACAGAGGGGGCCGAAGCCGCGAGGCGGAGGAAAUCCUAAAAACUGGGCCCAGUUCGGACUGUAGGCUGCAACCCGCCUACACGAAGCCGGAAUCGCUAGUAAUGGCGCAUCAGCUACGGCGCCGUGAAUACGUUCCCGGGUCUUGUACACACCGCCCGUCACAUCAUGGAAGCCGGUCGCACCCGAAGUAUCUGAAGCCAACCGCAAGGAGGCAGGGUCCUAAGGUGAGACUGGUAACUGGGAUG
rnacentral:rRNA from 1 species